rnacentral:rRNA from 2 species
GGCGACUGCGGAACCGUACAGAGGUGAACUUCGAUCGAGCUGAUUAAAAGCUGGCUUCGUUGACGUUAGCGGCGGACGGGUGAGUAACACGUGGGCAACCUGCCUGUAAGACUGGGAUAACUUCGGGAAACCGAAGCUAAUACCGGAUAGGAUCUUCUCCUUCAUGGGAGAUGAUUGAAAGAUGGUUUCGGCUAUCACUUACAGAUGGGCCCGCGGUGCAUUAGCUAGUUGGUGAGGUAACGGCUCACCAAGGCAACGAUGCAUAGCCGACCUGAGAGGGUGAUCGGCCACACUGGGACUGAGACACGGCCCAGACUCCUACGGGAGGCAGCAGUAGGGAAUCUUCCGCAAUGGACGAAAGUCUGACGGAGCAACGCCGCGUGAGUGAUGAAGGCUUUCGGGUCGUAAAACUCUGUUGUUAGGGAAGAACAAGUACGAGAGUAACUGCUCGUACCUUGACGGUACCUAACCAGAAAGCCACGGCUAACUACGUGCCAGCAGCCGCGGUAAUACGUAGGUGGCAAGCGUUAUCCGGAAUUAUUGGGCGUAAAGCGCGCGCAGGCGGUUUCUUAAGUCUGAUGUGAAAGCCCACGGCUCAACCGUGGAGGGUCAUUGGAAACUGGGGAACUUGAGUGCAGAAGAGAAAAGCGGAAUUCCACGUGUAGCGGUGAAAUGCGUAGAGAUGUGGAGGAACACCAGUGGCGAAGGCGGCUUUUUGGUCUGUAACUGACGCUGAGGCGCGAAAGCGUGGGGAGCAAACAGGAUUAGAUACCCUGGUAGUCCACGCCGUAAACGAUGAGUGCUAAGUGUUAGAGGGUUUCCGCCCUUUAGUGCUGCAGCUAACGCAUUAAGCACUCCGCCUGGGGGAGUACGGUCGCAAGACUGAAACUCAAAGGAAUUGACGGGGGCCCGCACAAGCGGUGGAAGCAUGUGGUUUAAUUCGAAGCAACGCGAAGAACCUUACCAGGUCUUGACAUCCUCUGACAACUCUAGAAGAUAGAGCGUUCCCCUUCGGGGGACAGAGUGACAGGUGGGUGCAUGGUUGUCGUCAGCUCGUGCCGUGAAAAAGUUUGGGUUAAGUCCCGCAACGAGCGCAACCCUUGAUCUUAGUUGCCAGCAUUUAGUUGGGCACUCUAAGGUGACUGCCGUGAAAACCCGAGGAAAAAAGGGGGGGGGAGAAAGCUCAAAACCUCAUGGCCCCUUAUAACCUGGGCGUACACCCGGCGCACAAAGGAGGGGGUAAAAAAGGGGUUCCAAAACCCCCCGAGGUCAACCCAUUCCCUUAAAACAUUUCUUCUUUUUGGAAUGUGGAGGGUGCCACUCCCCUCCACUAAAAACUGGAAACCCUUUAAUAUACCGAGAUACAAAAUGCCCGCGGG